GUCCAGUCGCCGUGUGUGCCGUAGAGGCUGCUGUCGUGGACGGAAGAAUGAAGCUGCUAGCAAAGAAAAAGCGAACGGCCAAGCAGUUCUGCUGUGUUCCUCGGUGCGUGCCAGCGAGAUGGAAGGACAGCGAUAUUUCCGUUCACGCACUUCCCUCCGAGUGGAAAGGCUGAAGCCGCAGAACCAGGUGGAUCGCUAACCUCCGCAUCGGCAAGGCUGUGACGCCUACAGUGACUGUUUGCUCACGGCAUUUUGCACGGGAUAAUUUCUCCUUACCAGAUGUAGCAUGUCAAAGACAGCGGCUGAAAAAAAUGCAGUACCAACUGAAAACCUGCCAAGGACGUCAUGUUAUGAUGAGAACAAGGAUGCUCAUAUGAAAGAGCUUUCACUGGCAAGACUUCGCCGACGUGUGUAUCGGUCAGCCAGAGUAAGUUAAUUUGACUACAUGGUGCAGCACUUAUAUGCUUAUGGUACAUACACCAUGUCUACAAGCAUGCAAUAGAUGUCAACACCUUUUAAUGCAUUACAGAAUGAAUCAAGCAAAGAAACUGUUGCCUCCCCAUUAGAAGCAAAGGUGUUGCCCCAUGCACCUGUCAGCACGACCACCAUGGUAAAUUGGCUGCCUGCAACUUGUGCACACAUUGCUUCACCACUAAUUCCUUGGGAUUAAACUCUGACAUUGCAGGACGAUCUCCCAUCCCCUGACCGCGACAGCAUGGACCAAAUAAGUGACAAAGGAAAUAUGGUAAUUUCUUUUUGAAGUUCAGUGUUUGACGGAAGCCCGUCUGGUCGGGAUGAAACAUGGUUAAAAGGGUAAACAAAAACCCGGGGCACUUCGGCGACCAAAUAAAGAUUUAAAAGAAAAGAAGACGUUUCGGCUCCCACACGGGAGCCUUGUUCACAGGUAAAAUAAACAAAGGUGCUCGAGCAGCUCGCUUAAAUAGUCUAGAACACGUGACGCAGGCAGCGCGCAUACACUGACGGCAGAUUGCCAUCGCUCCUGUUCAGAGUGUGUGGCGUAGUCUGGAUCAUGAGGGACUCAAGAUAAAGGCGUCGAGAUAGCCCUUUUUCCCUGGCAAUUUCUUUUUGUAUAUGUAUGUGUUGUGGUAGCUGUCUUUACCUAGACGGUGGCAUGCUUUCUCGAUUUACAUCGUAAAAGCAUUGUAGCACGUGGUGUGUGAUGGGUGCACAUUAAUUGCAACUUGUGCACACAUUGCUUAACCACUGUUUUCUUAAACUGAACUCUAUCUGACAUUGCAGGACGAUUUCCCAUCCCCUAACAACAUGGACCAAAGCCUUGCAAACACCAUAAGGGACAAGGACAUAGCAAAUAUGGCAAUUUAUUUUUUCUAUAUAUUUGUGAUGUGGUAGCUGUCUUUACCUAGGCGGCAGCAUGUUUUCUGGAUUAACUUCGUGAAAGGAUUGUGGUGUAUGAUGGGUGCAAAUUACCUGAUGCAAAAAGCCUGGCUUUCCUACUUCCAACAUUGAAUUUAAUACAUUGACGUGCAUUAUUGGAAUGACAAAAAGAAGCUGCAUUUCGCGUCAGAUAUGUCGGACAUUACAACUCUUGCUUUUGUUUUGUGACAGGAAUCUGCUUGCCAACCUGGCCUCCGGACAUUAAUGGCAGAGUACUCAAGAGAAGAAAAAGACGUGGCAAAUUUCCUACUAGAAAUGGCUUCACGGACAAGGCUUACAGAAAGCAAGGCUGCCCAAGUGACAUCGGGUACUUUUCCACAGAAGUUUGUGAACACGAUAAAUAGUAGCAACGUAAAUGCAUUCACAGGCCUGCCAUCAUUCGAUGUUCUGAAUGCUCGUGCGACGUGCUACACAAAAAUUCAUCCACUUUCAGGACGGCACCAGUUAUGUGUAAAAACAAUUGCAUUGACAUUGGUGAAAUUGAAGCAUAUUUCCACUGCAUUCUUGAGUCACCUUUUUAACUGUUCUCUUACUACAUGUAGCAACAUAAUUGCAGAGACUGCUCAGUUGAUGUGUGAAAUUUUAAAAGUAACUGUGGCUGUGCCACCAAAAGAUGAAUUCCAGUGGCACGUUUGCAUAUUCGGCAUUAGGUGAUUCACCUGAAGUCGUGCCAUGGCUGGCGAUAUUGCAAGUAGCCUGUACUGCAUAGAGGCAUUUGUGCGUGUGACCUUGGCUCCAUCAAAGCGUGGCGGCCUUGAGAGUAAGUGCGGUCUUCUGUUUGGAAAUCCAGCAUAUUUUAUGCCACUCAGCCACUUCAUACUUUUCAGACACGGUCGUUGCCAUGUGAUCUACAUGCUGCACUUGUUUGCAUUGGCCAAACCUGCAGACUUCAACUUCAACACACUUUUUGUAAAUUAGCAAUGCACAUUCUUUUGCAACUUGUAUUCUUCAUUGAAGUGCUGAUUUACACUACGCAUUCUGAUGCAAGUUUUCAUCUUAUGGUAUUCCGAGAUAUUUGCAGUUCACUUAUGAUCUGUGUGCAUAGAGUUGUGGUUAUUCUUCAAUGGCUGUUUGUUGUCCCUUUCCUUACUUGUAUUUUUUCACAAAAUAAACCACAUGCACUCAA